GCUCUUUCAUUAAUAGUCUACAUAGAAAGCCAUUAUGAUUCAUGGUAGCCUACAAAUAUAUUCUCUUCCUUAGGAUCUCAGAACCUGCAAGCCACACUAUACAGCACGCGAAGUAUAGUUUUCAAGUGGAACAGGACGCUGGCGUUCUUGUCAAGCAUGGUACAUGGCUUCUAGUGAUCGGAAAAUAGCCGAGGAGGCAUUAUAUAAAUCAAACAAGGAUGGGUCUUUCUUAGUAAGGAAAAGUUCCGGACAAGAUUCUAAGCAGCCAUAUACACUGGUUGUAUUUUAUAACAAAAGAGUAUAUAAUAUUCCAAUCCGAUUUAUUGAAUCUGAAAGGCAUACGCUCUGGGUAGAGAAAAGACUGGUGAGGAGCACUUUGACAGCGUGGCAGAGAUAAUAGAGAAUCAUCAGCGUCUUCUCUCGUUCUCAUUGACAGUCAAACAACACAAAGGAUUCCACCAGGCUAAAAUAUAUUGCUAGGGUUUUGUAACUGCCACCAAGGAGCAUCGUGGAGUAUCUUCGAGCCCUUUAUUUCCCAAGGAUUUGAGCAAACAUGAACAACUAUUGUUGGAAGAAUUUUCUUCACGUUUUCCAGCAAGCACCAUGCUGUUACAAAAUGCCCAAAGCCUUUUUUAUAUAUAAAAGACGUUACCUCUGAAUGCAAAAAAAAAUAAAAAAAAAUCUGUUGCAGACAAGAUAAAUGUUUAAAAUUAUACCUGCUAGUGUUUACUUGUCCUGCUAAACUUUUGUUAUUUUUCAAAACUAGGUGUCUGUAUUCCAUGUAACCAGCUAAAAGGAAGAUUUUCAUUCCUCUUGACAGCCAUCUAAAAUAAUCAGGAUGUUUAUUUUAGUGUAAUGGACUGGUACGUGCUUUUAUUUGUUGAAUCUAUUGUCCAAUUUGAUUUAAGUGUACAUAUAUGGAAAUAAUUAUGUAUAAUUUAUCAAGAUGCAGUUAUGAUCUGUAAGAACGUAUCAUUCUUGCACAGUAAAUACUUAACUAUAUCUCAGCUGUUGCAUGCUUCUGCAAAAUGUUUCGGGACUAUAAAAAUACUUUGGCCACAUGAAUGUAUCAACAAGUAUUUAGUGUUUCUGGGGGCCGGG